UACAGAGGGUGCAAGCGUUGUUCGGAAUCAUUGGGCGUAAAGCGCACGUAGGCGGAUUGUUAAGUCGGGGGUGAAAUCCUGGAGCUCAACUCCAGAACUGCCUUCGAUACUGGCGAUCUCGAGUUCGGGAGAGGUGAGUGGAACUGCGAGUGUAGAGGUGAAAUUCGUAGAUAUUCGCAAGAACACCAGUGGCGAAGGCGGCUCACUGGCCCGAUACUGACGCUGAGGCACGAAAGCGUGGGGAGCAAACAGG
rnacentral:rRNA from 1 species